CAAUAGCGUAUAUUAAAGUUGUUGCAGUUUAAAAGCUCGUAGUUGGACCUUGGACCUGGACAGGCGGUCCGCCUCACGGCGUGUACUGUCUUGCUGGGUCUUUCCUCUUGGUGAUCUGUUGUUUCGGCAGCAGGGAACCAGGACUUUUACUUUGAAAAAAUUAGAGUGUUCAAAGCAGGCUCGACGCCGGAAUAUAUUAGCAUGGAAUAAUAAAAUAGGACGUGCGGUUCUAUUUUGUUGGUUUUUGGAAUCGCCGUAAUGAUUAAUAGGGACAGUCGGGGGCAUUAGUACUCACAUGCUAGAGGUGAAAUUCUUGGAUUUUGUGAAGACUAACUUCUGCGAAAGCAUUUGCCAAGGAUGUUUUCAUUAA
rnacentral:rRNA from 1 species